rnacentral:lncRNA from 1 species
GCCAUGCAAGGAACAGGUCUCCAGAUAGCCAGAUGCCCAGUCGCACAGAAGCAGAAUAUCCGAGUGACUAAGGGAACUGCAGCAGGGAAGCGAUAGCUCUCCAUGGUUGUGUGUGGGACCCACCAGCGGCAGGAUCCUCUGCACUUCUGCAGCUGGAGAUGGCUGUGGCUAUACGGGUCAGGACUGACACUUCUAAAAGACCUGGGAUAUGUGAGGAGAAAAAUGCCAACCACAUCAAUGGGUAUAUUUCUGGAAAGUACUUGGAUGGUGCUGUGUUGGCAACUUGAGAAGAACGAGGAGAUGAAAUUAAUGGAACGUCUUGUGGAGGAGGAAAGAAGAAAACUAAAACUGAGUAGCUUUCACCUCAGAAGCUUUGAGCAUCUAUUUCUAAUCAAGUGAAGUUCGGAUCAGAGAAACUCUUGUCAUUUGUGUCCUUUGUUUACUUCUAGAGUAAAUCAAAA